rnacentral:rRNA from 1 species
GAUGAACGCUAGCGAUAGGCUUAACACAUGCAAGUCGAGGGGCAGCAUGGUCUUAGCUUGCUCAGACUGAUGGCGACCGGCGCACGGGUGCGUAACGCGUAUGCAACUUGCCUCACAGAGGGGGAUAACCCGUCGAAAGACGGACUAAUACCGCGUACACUUGGGAUAGGGCAUCCUGACCCAAGGAAAUGAAAUUCGCUGUGAGAUAGGCAUGCGUCCCAUUAGCUAGUUGGUGAGGUAACGGCUCACCAAGGCGACGAUGGGUAGGGGAACUGAGAGGUUGAACCCCCACACUGGUACUGAGACACGGACCAGACUCCUACGGGAGGCAGCAGUGAGGGAUAUUGGUCAAUGGACGAGAGCCUGAACCAGCCAAGUCGCGUGAAGGAUGACUGUCUUAUGGAUUGUAAACUUCUUUUAUACGGGAAUAACAAGAGCCACGUGUGGCUCCCUGCAUGUACCGGAUGAAUAAGCAUCGGCUAACUCCGUG